rnacentral:rRNA from 1 species
UACGAAGGGAGCUAGCGUUGUUCGGAAUCACUGGGCGUAAAGCGCACGUAGGCGGAUUUGUCAGUCAGGGGUGAAAUCCCGGGGCUCAACCUCGGAACUGCCUUUGAUACAGCAAGUCUUGAGUUCGAGAGAGGUGGGUGGAAUUCCUAGUGUAGAGGUGAAAUUCGUAGAUAUUAGGAAGAACACCGGUGGCGAAGGCGGCCCACUGGCUCGAUACUGACGCUGAGUGAGCGAAAGCCAGGGGAGCAAACGGG